rnacentral:rRNA from 1 species
GAAAGGGNCGGCUAACUACGUGCCAGCAGCCGCGGUANUACGUAGGUCCCGAGCGUUGUCCGGAUUUAUUGGGCGUAAAGGGAGCGCAGGCGGUCAGGAAANUCUGGAGUAAAAGGCUAUGGNUCAACCAUAGUGUGCUCUGGAAACUNUCUGACUUGAGUGCAGAAGGGGAGAGUGGAAUUCCAUGUGUAGCGGUGAAAUGCGUAGAUAUAUGGAGGAACACCAGUGGCGAAAGCGGCUCUCUGGUCUGUCACUGACGCUGAGGCUCGAAAGCGUGGGUAGCGAACAGGAUUAGAUACCCUGGUAGUCCGCGCCGUAAACGAUGAGUGCUAGGUGUUAGGCCCUUUCCGGGGCUUAGUGCCGGAGCUAACGCAAUAAGCACUCCGCCUGGGGAGUACGACCGCAAGGUUGAAACUCAAAGGAAUUGACGGGGGCCCGCACAAGCGGUGGAGCAUGUGGUUUAAUUCGAAGCAACGCGAAGAACCUUACCAGGUCUUGACAUCCCGAUGCUAUUCUUAGAGAUAGGAAGUUACUUCGGUACAUCGGAGACAGGUGGUGCAUGGUUGUCGUCAGCUCGUGUCGUGAGAUGUUGGGUUAANNNNNNNNNNCGAGCGCAACCCUUAUUGUUAGUUGCCAUCAUUAAGUUGGGCACUCUAGCGAGACUGCCGGUAAUAAACCGGAGGAAGGUGGGGAUGACGUCAAAUCAUCAUGCCCCUUAUGACCUGGGCUACACACGUGCUACAAUGGUCGGUACAACGAGUUGCGAGCCGGUGACGGCAAGCUAAUCUCUGAAAGCCGAUCUCAGUUCGGAUUGGAGGCUGCAACU